rnacentral:rRNA from 1 species
GACGAACGCUGGCGGCGUGCUUAACACAUGCAAGUCGAACGGAAAGGCCCCCACCUUGGUGGGGGUGCUCGAGUGGCGAACGGGUGAGUAACACGUGGGUGAUCUGCCCUGUACUUCGGGAUAAGCUUGGGAAACUGGGUCUAAUACCGGAUAGGACCAUGGUUUAGUGUCUCAUGGUGGAAAAAUUAUUGUUUUGGUGCAGGAUGAGCUCGCGGCCUAUCAGCUUGUUGGUGGGGUAAUGGCCUACCAAGGCGUCGACGGGUAGCCGGCCUGAGAGGGUGGACGGCCACAUUGGGACUGAGAUACGGCCCAGACUCCUACGGGAGGCAGCAGUGGGGAAUAUUGCACAAUGGGCGCAAGCCUGAUGCAGCGACGCCGCGUGGGGGAUGACGGCCUUCGGGUUGUAAACUCCUUUCGUUAGGGACGAAGCCACACCUUUUUUGGGUGUGGUGACGGUACCUUUGGUAAGAAGCACCGGCUAACUACGU